CAGCCGCGCGGUAAUACAGAGGGUGCAAGCGUUAAUCGGAAUUACUGGGCGUAAAGCGCGCGUAGGUGGUUCGUUAAGUUGGAUGUGAAAUCCCCGGGCUCAACCUGGGAACUGCAUCCAAAACUGGCGAGCUAGAGUAGGGCAGAGGGUGGUGGAAUUUCCUGUGUAGCGGUGAAAUGCGUAGAUAUAGGAAGGAACACCAGUGGCGAAGGCGACCACCUGGGCUCAUACUGACACUGAGGUGCGAAAGCGUGGGGAGCAAACAGGAUUAGAUACCCGUGUAGUCCCUGUCUCUUAUACA
rnacentral:rRNA from 1 species